rnacentral:lncRNA from 1 species
AUGGGUUUCAGAGUAAGUGUAAGCAUAGAGCAUCCUGUCUCUGCCACUCCCUGCCUUGCCUGGGAAUGAUGGCUACCAAAAUGAAGACUGGACUACGAGGGUGAAAACCACUCCACAACACAUCUGAGAUUAGGACUAGAGAGUAAAUCAAAGGAUGACAGAAUGGAGAAAGGAUCUUAUGAACAAAUGUCAAAGAGUUGGAGAGAGAAAAUAUAAGUGUGUCUUGUCUUCACGUCACAUAAGAGGCAGGCCGGGGAGCCCUGUCAGGGACUGCUGGUAUUUGGCAGUGACAGUGGAAGCGCAGGAAGGAACAGAGCUCCAGAGCAAGCCAGCACGCUUUAAUCAGCUUCGGGUCCUGCAAGAGCCAAGAUUUACAGGGGCCUCACCCCCCCCAGGUAGAAGCAGAGCGACACAUUCAGCUUUGCUGCGAGGUUUUAUAGCGAUGUUAUCACUCAGAGCACAGAGACAUAAAUGCAGAGGGACUGGAAGACGAGAACAUAAUGUUUUCACACGCUAAGCUUAAUUUCAGCAUCGUUCCGUGCUCCUGGGGCUUCCUUAUGAAUGACUGUAAAACUCCAUUGUUUUCGAAAAUUAGUGGAUCACAAGGAAAAUUGCACAUUUGAUGAGUCUGGUGUAAUGGGUUGGUGUUCCGGUGGCCUCGCCUCACACCGGGGCGCACUUCAGCUGGCCCUAGUUUCAGAAAAACGAUCUGCA